AUUGAACGCUGGCGGCAUGCCUUACACAUGCAAGUCGAACGGUAACGCGGGGCAACCUGGCGACGAGUGGCGAACGGGUGAGUAAUGCAUCGGAACGUGCCCAGUAGUGGGGGAUAGCCCGGCGAAAGCCGGAUUAAUACCGCAUACGACCUACGGGUGAAAGGGGGGGAUCGCAAGACCUCUCGCUAUUGGAGCGGCCGAUGUCAGAUUAGGUAGUUGGUGGGGUAAAAGCCUACCAAGCCGACGAUCUGUAGCUGGUCUGAGAGGACGACCAGCCACACUGGGACUGAGACACGGCCCAGACUCCUACGGGAGGCAGCAGUGGGGAAUUUUGGACAAUGGGCGCAAGCCUGAUCCAGCCAUGCCGCGUGCGGGAAGAAGGGCCUUCGGGUUGUAA
rnacentral:rRNA from 1 species